AUUGAACGCUGGCGGCAUGCCUUACACAUGCAAGUCGAACGGCAGCACGGGUGCUUGCACCUGGUGGCGAGUGGCGGACGGGUGAGUAAUACAUCGGCACAUGUCCUGUAGUGGGGGAUAGCCCGGCGAAAGGCGGAUUAAUACUGCAUACGAUCUACGGAUGAAAGCGGGGGACGUUCGGGCCUCGCGCUAUAGGGUUGGCCGAUGGCUGAUUAGCUAGUUGGUGGGGUAAAGGCCUACCAAGGCGACGAUCAGUAGCUGGUCUGAGAGGACGACCAGCCACACUGGGACUGAGACACGGCCCAGACUCCUACGGGAGGCAGCAGUGGGGAAUUUUGGACAAUGGGCGAAAGCCUGAUCCAGCAAUGCCGCGUGUGUGAAGAAGGCCUUCGGGUUGUAAAGCACUUUUGUCCGGAAAGAAAUCCUUGGCCCUAAUACGGUCGGGUUAUGACGGUACCGGAAGAAUAAGCACCGGCUAACUACGUG
rnacentral:rRNA from 1 species